rnacentral:rRNA from 1 species
AUGAGCAUGAUAAGAACCUUCCAGAAACUUCUGCAACCAACCCGCGGACCCCACCGGGCUUCUACUCCCCUCCGCCGCUUCUGCGGCCGCGCACCGGCCCCGCCGUCGCCCUCCGGCGGCGACAUCUUCCAAUGGAACUCCGCCAUAUCCGCCCACCUCCGCGCCGGCAGGGUGGCCGCCGCGCGCCGACUGUUCGACGAAAUGCCGGAGCGGAACGUGUUCACGUGGAACUGCAUGAUCUCCGGCUUCGUCCAGAACCGGAUGCUCGCGGACGCGCGCAGGGCGUUCGACGCGAUGCCUGGGAGGAACUCGGUCUCCUGGGCCGCGCUCCUGACCGGCUACGCGCGGUGCGGGAGGGUCGCCGAGGCCAGGGAGCUCUUCGACCGGAUGCCGGACCGGAACGUGGUCUCCUGGAACGCGAUGAUGUCAGGCUACGCGCGCAACGGGAUGGUCGAGCGGGUGCGCGAGCUGUUCGACGCGAUGCCAGCGAGGAACGACGUCUCGUGGCUGACGAUGAUCUCCGGUUACAUCAGGAGGCGUCGUGUCCGUGAGGCGAGGGAGCUCUUUGACCGCGCCCCUUCCCCGUCGACGUCUGUCUGCAACGCGUUGCUGUCGGGUUACGUCGCACUUGGUUGCUUGAAGGACGCCGAGGAGCUGUUUGGCCGGAUGCAGAGACGGAACCCUGUCUCGUGGAAUGUUAUGAUCACAGGCUACGCGCGGGCUGGGAGGAUGCAGGUUGCGCAGAGCCUGUUUGAUGAGAUGCCCCAGAAGGACACGAUAUCUCGGACAGCCAUUAUGCGUGGGUACUUGCAGAAUGGAGACGUUGAUGCUUCGUGGAAGGUGUUCCAGGAAAUGCCCGAUCGGGAUGCUGUUGCUUGGAACACAAUGAUCGGUGGUUUCGUGCAGAGUGAGAGGGUGGAUGAUGCUUUGAGAUUGUUUGCUGAGAUGCCAAAUAGGGAUCUCGUAUCUUGGAACACGAUCUUGCAAGGCUAUGUUCAACAAGGGGACAUGGCUAGUGCAAAUACCUGGUUUAGAAAAAUGCCAGAGAAAGAUGAGACCUCGUGGAACACAUUGAUCUCUGGGUACAAAGAUGAAGGAGCACUAGCUUUGCUGUCAGAAAUGACCAGAGGAGGACUCAGACCGAACCAAGCCACUUUGAGCAUUGUUAUUUCUAUCUGCGCCUCUCUUGUUGCGCUCGGAUGUGGAAAAAUGGUGCAUCUCUGUGCAGUCAAAACUGGCUUUGAGCGGGACGCUUUGGUAAUGAGCUCAUUGAUAUCUAUGUACUCAAAGUGUGGGCUAAUCGCUGAAGCCUCACAAGUUUUCGAAUUGAUGUUGCAGCGAGAUACAGUGACAUGGAAUGCCAUGAUUGCGACAUAUGCUUAUCAUGGUAUGGCUGCUGAAGCUCUGAAACUCUUUGACAAAAUGACUGAAGAUGGAUUUCGUCCAGACCAUGCAACCUUUCUUAGUGUAUUGUCUUCUUGUGCACACAAAGGCUAUUUAUAUGAAGGUUGUCGUUAUUUUAGAAGUAUGCAAGAAGAUUGGAACUUGAUUCCUAGAUCUGAUCACUAUUCCUGUAUGGUUGAUCUCCUAGGAAGAUCUGGUUUUGUACACCAAGCUUAUGCAUUCACAAGAAAAAUCCCAUCUGACCUUCAAGUAAAUGCAUGGGAGACACUGUUUAGCGCAUGUAAUGCUCACGGAGAUGUUCAGCUUGGAGAAGUCAUUGCAAAGAAUGUCCUUCAGGCGCAACCUUCUGAUGGAGGAAUGUAUACACUCUUGGCAAACUUAUAUGCUGCCAAAGAGAUGUGGAGCAGUGCUGCCAAUGUUAGAGGAUUCAUGAAAGAGCAGGGCUUAAAGAAGGAGACAGGGUGUAGUUGGGUUGAGCUGAAGGGGGAGGUUGUCUCCUUCUCAUCAAAUGACAAUACACAUCCUCUAAUUGAUCAGAUAUGCCAGGAGGUUGAUAACCUUUCUGUCAUGAUAGAAGGGGCGACGUGA